CCCGCUGCUUCCCGAGGCUCUGCUGGUUUCUGUUCCUGAUCUCGUCCUCUCUGUUCUUCAUUGUCAGCCAUUUGUCAACUGGCUCAUCCUGUGCUGCGUCUUCCUUCUGGCGUCCCCAGUCGCCUCUUAAUUUUCCCAGAUGCUGCAUUUUUCAGUUCUAGAAUUUCCAUCUGGUUCUUCUUUAACAGUUCCUGCUUCUCUCUGGAGCUUUCCCACUCCCACAGGAGCGUGUCUUCCUGUGUCCUCGAGCACACUUCCUGCGCCCGGCUGAGGCUUCCAACACCGGGGCCCAAUCUUGGGGUCGGUCUCCACUGCGGCCUCGUGACCGAGGGUCACAGUUUCAUCCCCCGAGAAUACUGAGCUGUAGAUGCUGUGAAUGACCAGGUGUAGAGAGACUCUACACUCUGCUACAUUCUUCUUUCUGGGUAUCGAUACCUUUAUUUCAACAGACAGCUAACUGGCCGGACUCAGACGCAAAACCCUCCUGAAGCAGGAGCCGGCAGAAAUCUCUGUUCCGUUCUUUCAGCCUCGGCCGAGCUGCUUGAAGUCCAGCCCACGGCUGCACGUUUCAAGCAUCAGCACACACGUGAGAAGAGAGGACACAGGGUUUGGGGUUCCCCUGGCUCCAACUCUGGCCUGAACGCUGUCCCUGGGUCUUGCAGGAAAAGUGCAGCUCCUUGAGGCCAACAGCACUGCCUUUACCAGAACUCAGCCCCACGUCUCCCGGCCUGCUUCAACGCGCGGCGAGCUCGGCCAAGACGGGGACCAGGAGUGCUCUGUGCCCUGCUGGCUAACGGCAGGAAGGCGGGGGACCCACGGCUCACGUGGCAAGAGUUGAACAACAAUGGUGGGACCAGGAAGGCUCCCCGUUCACAGGAAAUGCUCGGUGUGUCAGCAUCGGCGGAGGGCCGUGUGAGGUCACGGGCAACGGCGACCACGCUGGUCACGCGCGGCGGCUCCCAUUCAACGCGACGUCUUUUUUGAUAAGCUGGUACUUGUGGGGGGAGGGCAGUCAGGGGAAUGGGAAAGUUGCCUAUAAAUGUUUAACAAAAGAUCUGAACCGGGAAUGGGAAGGUGCGUUCUUUCUUUCAAUAGACAAAGCCUCCCACAUCAAGAUAUGUUUGUGUUCUCAGACAAGAAUUUCACGAUAACGUUUAGCUCGUGAGAACGCGCGCUCUGUGGGAAAUGCCCACCAACCCCGAGUGACCUCGGAUGAAUGGAAGUCGGCAAGCCCUGUGGGGAACCCCGCUGAGGGCCCCGGGCACCCCCAGAGACAGGCAGCGGGUCUGCAGCCCAGGGCGGAGGCCACCAGCUCUGGAGCGCAGGCCCGAGGGAGGAAAGGGUCCCCUGCACAGGGAGAGUCUACACUGGGCAGAGGGGAGCAGACACUCCUCCAGCUGCCCGGAAUGUUCUAGAAUCCCAGAGCCACGGGAAGGUAGGGAGAGGGACGAAAAAGAAAGGGGAGGAAGCUCAGUGCUUCUCCUAGGACCUCCACCCGGAACAGCAAUUGGCGGUUUUAGGUGGGGAGGAACAGGCUUUGAGUGCCGCCUGCUUGUGCAAGCACAGCCCUUCCCAGAGGUCCAGAAGCUCGACUCCAGCCGGGCCUGCCGUCAGAGGCUCCCCAGCACCUAGGCUAUGUUCCCCCCCAUGUUAUCCUUCCUCACCGGUUAAAGAGCAGGCUCAGACACCCAGAAGUGCAGUCCCCAACCUGGGUGGGCUGCGGGGGGGGGGGGGGGGGGGGCAAGGGUCC